CUGACCUCCUCCACACUGUGCUGUUGCAGAUCCUGCAAACUCAACUCAGAUACUCACCAAAGCUCUAAGGGGUCUCACCAUGACCAAGCUACUAUUCAUCUCAGCCUUCAUGGCAGUACUUGUCAUCAGUGUGGUGGGUUUUCGUGUCCCAAGGCGUGCUGAGUGGGUUCCCCACGUGCAUUCAAUAUUUGACCAGACCAUGGACCUGGUUGGCCAGAUAGUUGGAAAAGAGAACCUUCAAACUGCUGUAGAUACAACAACUGAAACAACAGUCCGUCUGGCCGACGCAACAGCUAAUCUUGCAGAGAAAAUUUUCAAAGCUCUCUUUACAAACUAACGGCUUCACUGUCUGUGACGUCCCCAUCUGCGUGGAAUGAACACGCUCAUCAGUCUUUUACGAAGUCCAACCAUUGUGUGGAAGCUUAACUGACCAAGAACAAAAGGAGUUUUGUCUCUCUUUACUUGUGUACUAAAAAUGAUCUGAUGGACUGCAUGGUGGCCAUUUUUCUUUGACUCUUGAAAUGUACCAUCCCACAUUCAAUCCCCAAAAGACAUUUUAAAUGCUGUAACAAAAGUGAUCCUACAGUAAUAAACACCUUUCUUGAUUGGUAAAAGUUCACGCCUCCUCCAUGUUUUCUAUCUGCUAUUUUGGAACCAGUUCCCACUUCACCACCUCUCCUGUGAGGAUGCAAAACUGCAGAACUUGUUUGUUUUACACAUGUACUUA
ensembl:lncRNA